GACCUCGGAUCAGGUAGGAAUACCCGCUGAACUUAAGCAUAUCAAUAAGCGGAGGAAGGAA
rnacentral:rRNA from 1 species